GACGAACGCUGGCGGCGUGCUUAACACAUGCAAGUCGAACGGAAAGGCCCUGCUUUUGUGGGGUGCUCGAGUGGCGAACGGGUGAGUAACACGUGAGUAACCUGCCCUUGACUUUGGGAUAACUUCAGGAAACUUGGGCUAAUACCGGAUAGGAGCUCCUGCUUCAUGGUGGGGGUUGGAAAGUUUCGGCGGUUGGGGAUGGACUCGCGGCUUAUCAGCUUGUUGGUGGGGUAGUGGCUUACCAAGGCUUUGACGGGUAGCCGGCCUGAGAGGGUGACCGGCCACAUUGGGAAUGAGAUACGGCCCAGACUCCUACGGGAGGCAGCAGUGGGGAAUAUUGCACAAUGGGCGGAAGCCUGAUGCAGCAACGCCGCGUGCGGGAUGACGGCCUUCGGGUUGUAAACCGCUUUCGCCUGUGACGAAGCGUGAGUGACGGUAAUGGGUAAAGAAGCACCGGCUAACUACGUG
rnacentral:rRNA from 1 species